GUCAUACACCGAAAAGAGUAUAUGGUGGAUGCCUUGGCAAUAGACAACGAUGAAGGACGUGGCCGGCUGCGAUAAGCCGCGGGGAGGUGCUGAGCAACCGUUAAUCCGCGGAUUUCCGAAUGGGAAAACCCCGCUACCGUAAUUGGUAGUGACUACUUACCUGCAAGGGUAGGAUAGAGAUAACCUGGCGAAUUGAAACAUCUUAGUAGCCAGAGGAAAAGAAACGAACGAAUACUUUUUUAUGUAUUUCAGUUCGUAAGCUUCCCGGAUUUACCGCAAGGUAAGUCCGUGUGAAGUUUACGAUCCCUGAUGUACGUGAAGAAAGUGUUUACAUUCCCCCAGUAGUGGCGAGCGAAAAGGGAAGAGCCCAAACCAUGCGUACGCAUAGCUCAUAUGGCGUUGUACGUAUGGGGUUGUAGGUUUAUGCAACGUUAAUGUAUGAAAAACAGACGGAAUUGUUGUAGCUGUCUAGAAGAACGCGGCUGGAAUGCCCGACCAUAGAGGGUGAGAGUCCCGUAUUUAAAAGAUAUAUGACAUCUGUCAGCAUAGACCUGAGUAGGGCGGGACACGUGAAAUCCCGUCUGAAUCUGGGAGGACUAAACUCCUAAGGCUAAAUAUGUCUAUUGACCGAUAGUGAACUAGUACCGUGAGGGAAAGGUGAAAAGUACCCUUUUAAAGGGAGUGAAAUAGACCUGAAACCAUAUACUUACAGAGAGUAGGAGCCCCGUAUUUAUACGUGGGUGACUGCGUGCUUUUUGCAGAACGAACCAUCGAGUUCGCUGUAUGCCGUUUUGCUUAAGUCUCAUCCGAGACGGAGGCGUAGCGAAAGCGAGUAUUAAUAGUGCGAAAUAAAAAUGGCAUGCACGAGACCCGAAACCGGGUGAUCUAUCCAUGAGCAGGGUGAAGUUCCGCGAAAGCGGAAUGGAGGCCCGAACCCGUUGGCUGUUCAAUACCAUGGGAUGACUUGUGGAUAGGGGAGAAAUUCCAAUCGAACCCGGCAAUAGCUGGUUCUCGUCGAAAUAGCUUUAGGGCUAGCCUCGUAAGGUAAUAUAGAGUGGUAGAGCACUGAAAGGGAUUAGGGGGCCUCGUGUUCCCAACCCUAUCAAACUCCGAAUACUCUAUAUGGAAUUACGGGAGUCAGAACGCGGGGGCUAAGCUCCGCGCUCAAAAGGGGAACAGCCCAGAUCAUAGCUUAAGGUCCCAAAAUGCUGCCUAAGUGGUUAAGGCGGUGGAGUUGCACAGACAGCGAGGCAGUUGGCUUAGAAGCAGCCACCUGUUAAAGAAAGCGUAACAGCUCACUCGUUAAGCGACUCUGCGCCGAAAAUUCAACGGGGCUCAAGGCAGCUACCGAAAGCAUGAAUGUCCCGCCUCUGGCGGGACGUGGUAGACGAGCGUUUCAUUUGCGUCGAAGGUGUACCGUGAGGUCCGCUGGAGCGAAUGGAAGUGAGGAUGAUGGUAUAAGUAACAAGACACAUGGUGAGAACCCAUGUCACCGUAAACCUAAGGUUUCCUGGGCAAUGUCGAUCAUCCCAGGGUUAGUCGGGCCUAAGACGAGGCCGAAAGGCGUAGCCGAUGGACAGCAGGUUAAUAUUCCUGCACCGACUGCAUAGUUUAUAAGGAGUGACGGAUCAUCGCACUUUAUCAGGACAAAUGACUUAUCCUGUACAGCACAUUAGUUGGACCACCUUGGUAAAUCCGGGAGGUUAUUCCAAACAGCGAAGUGUCUGAAGGAGAGCGCGGCCGCAAGGCCAAGCCUCUAUAAAGAAAGAAGGUCCCCGGAAAAGCUUCGUAUAAUUUCCUAUGCGGCCGUCCGUACCGCAAACCAACACAGGUAGGUGGAUGUAAGAGCAUUAAGGUGAUCGGGAGAACCCUCGUUAAGGAACUCGGCAAAAUAGCAGCCGUACGUUCGCAAUAAGGCUUGCCUCAUCGAAAGAUGAGGCCGCAGCGCAAGAUCCCUGGCGACUGUUUACCAAAAACACAGGUUCCUGCUAACUCGCAAGAGGAUGUAUAGGAGCUGACUCCUGGCCAGUGUCGGAACGUUAAACCCGCUCGUUAACGCGAGUGGACAAAGCGCCGAUGAACGCCGGCCGUAACUAUAACGGUCCUAUGGUAGCGAAAUUCCUUGGCACGUAAGUUGUGUCCUGCACGAAUGGAGUCACGACUGGGGAACUGUCUCAACGAGGGACCCGGUGAAAUUGCAAUGUCGGUAAAGAUGCCGCCACCCUGCGGCUAGACGAAAAGACCCCAUGAAGCUUCACUACAGCUUGGUAUUGGCUCGUCGAAUAUAAUGCUCAGUAUAGGUGGGAGGCUUUGAAAGUUCUGCUUCGGCGGAACUGGAGCCACAAUAUGAGAUACCACCCUUUAUGUUUGACGCGUCUAACGACGUGGUGUGAAUCCACCACCCGGACAGUGCCUGGCGGGUAGUUUAUCUGGGGCGGAUUCCUCAUAAAUAGUAACUGAGGAGCCUAUAAGGUCAGCUAGAUACGGAUGGAAACCGUGUCGAUAGUGCAAAGGCAUAAGCUGGCUUCACUGCAAGACCUACAAGUCGCGCAGACACGAAAGUGGAGCUUAGUGAACCGACCGUUCUCAUAUAGAAGAGCGGAAGAUCAUCGGAUAAAAGCUACUCUGGGGAUAACAGGCUUAUCUCCCCCAAUAGUCCACAUAGACGGGGAGGUUUGGCACCUUAACAUAUCGGGGUGCCGUAGAAGUGAUUACCCCGUGAAGCUUCACUACAGCUUGGUAUUGGCUC
rnacentral:rRNA from 1 species